rnacentral:rRNA from 1 species
CGCUGGCGGCGUGCCUAACACAUGCAAGUCGAACGGGGUUGCGGAAGCUUGCUUCUGCAGCUUAGUGGCGAACGGGUGAGUAACGCGUGAGGAACCUGCCUUUCAGUGGGGGACAACAGUUGGAAACGACUGCUAAUACCGCAUAAUGUGCUUAGGGGGCAUCCCCUGAGUACCAAAGCUUUAUGUGCUGAAAGAUGGCCUCGCGUCUGAUUAGAUAGUUGGUGGGGUAACGGCCUACCAAGUCGACGAUCAGUAGCCGGUCUGAGAGGAUGAACGGCCACAUUGGGACUGAGAUACGGCCCAGACUCCUACGGGAGGCAGCAGUGGGGAAUAUUGGGCAAUGGGGGAAACCCUGACCCAGCAACGCCGCGUGAAGGAAGAAGGCCUUCGGGUUGUAAACUUCUUUUAGCAGGGACGAAGGACGUGACGGUACCUGCAGAAAAAGCAACGGCUAACUACGUG